rnacentral:rRNA from 1 species
AACGAACGCUGGCGGCAGGCCUAACACAUGCAAGUCGAACGCCCCGCAAGGGGAGUGGCCGACGGGUGAGUAACACGUGGGAACCUUCCCUAUAGUACGAAAUAGCCCAGGGAAACUUGGAGUAAUACCGUAUACGCCCGAAAGGGGAAAGAAUUUCGCUAUAGGAUGGGCCCGCGUAGGAUUAGCUAGUUGGUGAGGUAAUGGCUCACCAAGGCGACGAUCCUUAGCUGGUUUGAGAGAACGACCAGCCACACUGGGACUGAGACACGGCCCAGACUCCUACGGGAGGCAGCAGUGGGGAAUAUUGGACAAUGGGCGCAAGCCUGAUCCAGCCAUGCCGCGUGAGUGAUGAAGGCCUUAGGGUUGUAAAGCUCUUUUGGCGGGGACGAUAAUGACGGUACCCGCAGAAUAAGUCCCGGCUAACUUCGUG